AAACAAGGAGCCAUUCCCCAGAAGGCAGACACCUCUGUUUGUAUAAAUCUAAGAACUACGUUGUGUGCAAUACUUAUAUAAAAAUCAUUUGCUGUCAGCAAAUAUCUACUGAAUACCCACUAAAUGGAACACCCUUAGCUUACUUAGAGCUUGGGGAGAAUAGGAACAGUUGUUUCAAACUCCCCUUUGAUCAGAAGGAGUUAAUGGCCACACUUAACUAAAAAGAAUAAUUUGUAACCCAUUAUAGUAUUCUUUUCACUCUUUCUUGCUCCUGAAUUGACUGGUAAGACCAAAAAGGAACUUAUUUUGAGUCCUGCCACAAUAAUGUUUCUGUUUUUUUUAAGCGAAAGAAAGUUUUCUUCCUUGUUCUAUAAUGCAUAGAAUGGCUUUCCUCUACAUAUUAAAAAGUGGGCACAUUGCCAAUUUUGGAAAGCUGUCUGGGAACUUUUACUCCAGUAUUGUGGGACCCUGGAAACUGUGUCUAGCUAUAGCAGAAUGUCUUUCCAUGGAAAGAAGAAUCGAUAAAGACUACAAAAACAGAAAAAAGGCAUAGUACUGUAGGUUCUUAAAUGAAAAUUGAUUUCUACCAUUGACCAUGGAACAAGCUCAUCAGUAAUACCGCAUUUAAAGGGAAUCUAAUUGUUUCUUCUUAUGGUAGGGUUUGAACUUGGAAGGGAAGUACAAGAGGGAAAUCAAUCCUCCUUUAUCACAAGUCGCUUAGUCACAGAUACCGAUUCAAGAAUAUACAAUUGUUAAGAGGCCUUUGUAACCACUCAACGGUUAGCCUCAGAAAUCCAAGCUGCAUUCCUCAGAAACAUAUGGGUUCAAUUUUUAAUUCUUUCUUUUUUGGUGUACAUACCUGAUCACUAGAGACACUCAAUUCAUUUCAGUCAUACAGUAAAUAAAACACAAAAUAAAAUGGAGUAUUGCAAAUUCACUAGUAAAAUCACCCAAAUUGUGGGCCAUACUGAUGAUUCAUCCCUGUAUAUGAGGAACAACAUGCUGUUUUAUUCACUCAUCACUUAAGCAUAAUAGGAUUGCAACACUGGCCAUGAUACACAAAUCCCUGGUUUCAUGAAGCUUACAUGGUAUUUUAUAUAUGAGUGUGUGUUGAGGGGGCAGAUAAAUAGGAAGUAAAAAAAUGAAUAAAGAAAACAAUUUUCAAUAGAAGUAAAUGGUAGGACCUGAUCUUGAAGAAGGGUAGCCGGGCAAAGGGAAUAGCAUGAAGUAGAAGUUUGGUUUCCAUGUCAAGGACAGAAAGAAGAAAUUCUAGUCGUUUGGAUCUGAAUAAGCUAGAAUUAUAAACUGAUAUGAGGGUGAAUUCAGGAGUCUAAUCAUAUGACCAUGGAGACCAUGGUAACCAGCUUAGGUCUCAUGAAAGGAAGUUUGGACAUUUGGGAAGGUUUUGGGAAGUGAAAGGAGGUUACUAUUUAAUUUACAUGGUUUACAAACUCAUGCUGGCUGAUAUAAGAGGGCUAAAUAGAAGAAGCACUAGUAAUCAGGACUUUACAUUAGUUCAGGGGAAAAUGACUGUGUCUUUAAAUGUAGUGAUAAAAGCUUUUUGCGCUGUCACUAAAAGCUUUUUAAAAUUUUGCCAUCUUAGGCUAGGACAGUUGCAUAGAAAACCACUGAAUGUGGCUUAAUGAGAAGAAGAAUAGAGAGGGCUGUAAAUAGAUACUCAGAGAGAAAUAAGGCAUAGAUCAACACACACCCAAAAUAAGUCAUCAAGUGUUCCAAAAAAUCUUAUCGCCCAUCUGAUAUGUAUCAAACACUGUUGUUUUUUCUUUUUUUAAAAAAAAUUUAAAUGAUUUUUAUUUUUUCCAUUAUAGUUUAGUGUUCUGUCAAUUUUUCCUGUACAGCAGUGACCCAGAUAUCUAUAUAGAUAUAUAGAUAUCUAUAUAGAUAUUCUUUUUCUCACAUUUUCCUCCAUCAUGUUCCAUCACAAGUGACUAAAUAUAGUUCCCUGCACUGUACAGCAGUAUCUCAUUGUUUAUCCACUCCAAAUGCAAUAGUCUGCAUCUAUUAACCCCACAUUUCCAGUCCAUCCCACUCCCUCCCCUUCCCCUUUGGCAACCACAGGUCUGUUCUUCCACUCCCUGAGUUUCUUUUCUGUGGAAAGGUUCAUUUGUGCCCUAUAUUAGAUUCCAGAUAUAAGUGAUAUCAUAUGGUGUUUGUCUUUCUCUUUCUGACUUAACUUCGUUUGUAUGAGAGUCUCUAGUUCCAUCCAUGUUGCUGCCAAUGGCAUUUUUUUAUGGCUAAGUAGUAUUUCAUUGUGUAUAUAUACCACAUCUUCUUAAUCCAUUCAUCUGUCAAUGGACAUUUAGGUUGUUUCCAUGUCUUGGCUACUAUGAAUAGUGCUGCAGUGAACAUAUGGGUGUAUGUAUCUUUUUCAAGGAGAAUUUUGUCUGGAUAUUACAUAAAAAGUACGAUCAAGUCUAUCUGUUUUCCCUAUCCAUCUCCUUUCAUCAUCCUUUAUUCAGGAAUAGUUCAUUUGUAUUUUGAUUAUACUGGUAAUAGCUUACAGCUGUUAUGAUCACAGUCUCAGUUUUGCACAUUGGAGAGGGUGCUGACUUAAAAGUAAAUGGAGUCAAGCCUAAUACUUAUUGACUUCCAUCAAUUUAAGAAGUUCUUAGCCUUUCUUAAUCUGUAAAGUUGGGAGAACAGACAUAACCUGUGCUCUGUCAUAGUGCUUUAGAUAUUGAAAUUUAACCCAAGCUUAAUUCUAUGAGUUGGGUUUUAUUUUGUUGUUAUCAUUCCUCUUUAACAGAUAAGAAAACUGAGUUACACCAACAAUGUAUAUAGCUCAGUAAGGUCACUAGAGAGUUGCAGAGCCUAACUGUGAAUAGGCUUCCUGAUUAUAGACACCACAUUUUUAAACACUACAUUACAACUUUAAUGGACUAACAUAUAAUUGUUACUUAAUAAAAAUUUGUUCAUCUUUUUCUGCACUUCCCCACUUCAACCUGUAGUAACUGUAUAUUUAGUAAUAAUAAUAUCUAUCAGAAUUAUGCAAUAUUUCAGUAUCUUUGUUCAAAUUGGUUUCUCUCCUAAUUUGUCACAUUUCCCAAAAGUCCUGAAUCAGCUGCCACCCCUAAUUAAGAAAUAAAUAUGUUUAUUUAAUACCUCUCUUUACAACUUCCACAGUAAUAUAAACAAGCUAGUAAUAC
rnacentral:lncRNA from 1 species